GGAAGCCAGGAGCAUGACAGUUUGUGUGGCGAUAGAGCUGCUCUCCCAUUGGCUAGGAGGGAUGUCAAUCUUUACCCUUGAUGAACUUCCUGUAGCUCCGUCACUGAAUCCAUUGUCAAACGCUAGUGGACAUUUGUAAACGACUACAAGGAAGCCUUCGUAUUGCACGGCGCUUUGGCGGCAUUGUGAACACGAGAGGUUAUUGCGCAGACAGACGACAGCAUAGAAAUUGGUGGAAUGCAAUGACAAAGGAAACGGUGGGAAGGAAGUGGUUGGGUGAACCUUCGAUGAUUCGCAGCCAAUCAGCUCAUAAGGAAAAUCAGUAUUCGAACACCCCGACCAGCUCACCCACGACAAUUUGUCCAGAUGACAACACACUCCUCUGCUCGCAGACAUUUCCCAGUACUGUAGUGAAAUUUUCUUCAAAUUGAGCAACAUUAACCCCCGAUCAUGGCUCCAAAGAAGGCAAGUGGAACUGCUGGUGCUGAAAAAAGGAAAGUGGUGCAUAAAACUAACUAUCGACUUCAAGAAGGAUUUGAUAGCCGAACACGAAUCUGGUGUACGUUAUUAUCAGGAAAAGCUAAAAGAAAUCACUUAAAAACAACAAUUUUUAGGCUUGGAACGCAUCAUUUCAUUUUCCAUUCAUUGUAAUGAGAAAACGUGCUCCACUUUUAGAACAUUUUGUUUUUCAACCAGCCUUCUAGAACGGAUUGUGUUCGAGAACUGAGGCACCACUGGAUUUGACUUUAGCGCAUGGGUGGCCAAACUACGGCCUGCAGGUCGCAUCCAAUUUCAUUUCAAUACCCGAUCGUCCAAAGAUGGGUAUCGAAUCAUACCAAACCAAUGACCAUGUUCAUUGGACCUUCUCUGAAAUGCCAAACAGUUCCACCAGGUUGUGCUGUCUUGUCCACUGGUUCCACCAAGUGGUAGUUCAAGUGAUACAUUGAAUUGACUUUGGCUCUGCUUUAACUCUGAACACUUCAACCACUAGUAGUCGACCAAAGAUAGGAAAUGCUAACAGUGAAUGCUGAGCAGUGUUUCUGCCUUUAAUAGAAAGGGAGAAGAAUCACCCUAAUUAACCCGGAGGAGUUAUCAAAGAGUAGCUACUUAUAACCUAACAUUUCUCAGUAAAGCAAGACUGCAUGCUGAUGAUUUGAAGUCAAUUCAACCAUUCACAAAUAUUUUACAGGUCAGAAGACUUGCUAAUAUGUGAACAGGGGAAAAAACGCGAUUGGGAGUUGAAUUUAGUGAUGGUGCAAUGUCAUAAAAGUGUAAAGUAAUGCACAAUUUCACUAUGACCACACUAUUUGGAUUUGCCUUUUUAAAACAGUGUUUCUUUAAACAUCUUUAAUAUAAACUACAGUUUUAUUGGCGUAUUAAAUUUGCAAUGUGUUGUGGGUCAUCCCGACGUGCGCUGCCAUAAAUCGGUCAUUAACGUUGAGGACUGUCUCACUGAAGGAUUUGCAUUACUUAGCUUGAUUAAUAUUUACAAUGAGAAGAAAUAACUUUCAACCUCAUUGUAGCCUGUACUGUGAGCUGGUUUAAUGUUCUCCCCGCCUUCCAUCACCCAGAGUGACUGAACUGCACGAGUAAUCUUGUCAAAUAUUCUUGCUUUGUACAUCAAAAUUACCUUGGUGGGAGAAAUGGUAUGUGUGUAUAUAUGCCCCCAGUAUCAAACCCCCACUUACUUUCACAUUGUCAUACACGCACGGAAAAAUAUGUGUACACAGUUCCCACCAUUGAGCACGAUCGGCAUUCUGCUGUCUAUCUUAAAUCAAGAGUCUUUAGAGAACUGCAUUGUGAACAGUGCACUUGUUUGUGUUUAGGUACUUACUGUACUGUGUCAUCGCGUCAAUUCAGCACUAAAUUGCUGAUUUAACACUAAUAUUUAAGUUAUUGGUUCAUGUUGAUAUAACUAUAACCUGUGUGGUGUACAUUACCAAAUAAUAAGUACAGUUAACCUAAUGCUUGUUUUUUUAUACAGUGGAUCAGUGAUAUUCCUGCCAUUUGGCAGCUGCUGCACUGAGAAUUGCCACAACAAAACCAGAAUUUGA